rnacentral:rRNA from 1 species
GGGCGAAAGCCUGAUGCAGCGACGCCGCGUGGGGGAUGAAGGCCUUCGGGUUGUAAACCCCUUUCAGCAGGGAAGAAGCGAAAGUGACGGUACCUGCAGAAGAAGCGCCGGCUAACUACGUGCCAGCAGCCGCGGUAAUACGUAGGGCGCAAGCGUUGUCCGGAAUUAUUGGGCGUAAAGAGCUCGUAGGCGGUUUGUCGCGUCUGCUGUGAAAACCCGAGGCUCAACCUCGGGCCUGCAGUGGGUACGGGCAGACUAGAGUGCGGUAGGGGAGACUGGAAUUCCUGGUGUAGCGGUGGAAUGCGCAGAUAUCAGGAGGAACACCGAUGGCGAAGGCAGGUCUCUGGGCCGCAACUGACGCUGAGGAGCGAAAGCAUGGGGAGCGAACAGGAUUAGAUACCCUGGUAGUCCAUGCCGUAAACGUUGGGCACUAGGUGUGGGGCUCAUUCCACGAGUUCCGUGCCGCAGCAAACGCAUUAAGUGCCCCGCCUGGGGAGUACGGCCGCAAGGCUAAAACU